GGCCCAUUAGCUCAGUUGGUUAGAGCGUGGUGCUAAUAACGCCAAGGUCGCAGGUUCGAGACAUGCAUGGGCCA
rfam:Triticum aestivum genome assembly, contig: Triticum_aestivum_CS42_TGACv1_scaffold_225374_3B